rnacentral:rRNA from 1 species
CCUACGGGUGGCAGCAGUGAGGAAUAUUGGUCAAUGGCCGGGAGGCUGAACCAGCCAAGUCGCGUGAGGGAUGACGGCCCUACGGGUUGUAAACCUCUUUUGCCAGGGAGCAAGGUGCCGGUCGUGACCUGUUGUGAGAGUACCCGAAGAAAAAGCAUCGGCUAACUCCGUGCCAGCAGCCGCGGUAAUACGGAGGAUGCGAGCGUUAUCCGGAUUUAUUGGGUUUAAAGGGUGCGCAGGCGGAGGCACAAGUCAGCGGUAAAAUCGCGGGGCUCAACCCCGUUGCGCCGUUGAAACUGUGUGCCUGGAGUGGGCGAAGAGUAGGCGGAAUGCGUGGUGUAGCGGUGAAAGGCAUAGAUAUCACGCAGAACUCCGAUCGCGAAGGCAGCGUACCGGCGCGCAACUGACGCUGAUGCACGAAGGCGUGGGUAUCGAACAGGAUUAGAUACCCCGGUAGUC